UUAACACAUGCAAGUCGAACGCAACCUUCGGGUUGAGUGGCGGACGGGUGAGUAACGCGUGAGAAUCUGCCUUGGGGUCGGGGACAACCACUGGAAACGGUGGCUAAUACCGGAUAAGCCUUUGGGUAAAAAAUUUAUUGCCCCAAGAGGAGCUCGCGUCUGAUUAGCUAGUUGGUGAGGUAAAAGCUCACCAAGGCAGCGAUCAGUAGCUGGUCUGAGAGGACGAUCAGCCACACUGGGACUGAGACACGGCCCAGACUCCUACGGGAGGCAGCAGUGGGGAAUUUUCCGCAAUGGGCGAAAGCCUGACGGAGCAAGACCGCGUGAGGGAGGAAGGCUCUUGGGUUGUAAACCUCUUUUCUCAGGGAAGAAGCUCUGACGGUACCUGAGGAAUCAGCCUCGGCUAACUCCGUGCCAGCAGCCGCGGUAAUACGGAGGAGGCAAGCGUUAUCCGGAAUUAUUGGGCGUAAAGCGUCCGCAGGUGGCGAUUCAAGUCUGCUGUCAAAGCACGGGGCUUAACUCCGUUAAGGCAGUGGAAACUGAAUAGCUAGAGUGCCGUAGGGGUAGAGGGAAUUCCCGGUGUAGCGGUGAAAUGCGUAGAGAUCGGGAAGAACAUCGGUGGCGAAAGCGCUCUACUGGACGGCAACUGACACUCAGGGACGAAAGCUAGGGGAGCGAAUGGGAUUAGAUACCCCAGUAGUCCUAGCUGUAAACGAUGGAUACUAGGUGUAGCUUGUAUCGACCCGAGCUGUGCCGAAGCUAACGCGUUAAGUAUCCCGCCUGGGGAGUACGCAC
rnacentral:rRNA from 1 species